GGUGGAGGACGCCACGAGCGCUGUUUCUGGCUUUCAUCUCCAGAUCUGAAGCCUCGCAGAGAUGGGCACCAAAUGGACAGCAUGGAAGCCAACAUCCACCCUCCAGCGACCAGCUUUCCACGGCUAGCUGCCUCCACCAUCUCCUGCCAUCAGCUCGAACCAUCCGAGCGAGGGCUGAGUCUGCAGAGUUGAGCCUGGACCAGCCGUCUACCGAAAGCAGAGAUAAGCAGAGGGCGACAGGCCUCGGAGGAGUCAACGCGCAACAAGCCAGUCGGCGUGUUGAGCGCACAAUUGAGCUUCUUGGACUUCAUCUAAAAUGAAAUAGGCUGCAGUGAUGCUUGAGCAAUG
ensembl:lncRNA